ensembl:lncRNA
UCAGAAACGUAGAAGAACUGUGAUCACUAUUUAAAAAAAAAAAAAAUGAGGCUCAAUUUAUCCAGAAGCAUUCAACUGUCUGAAAAAGUCUUUUAGUACUUAUGUACUAAGGAUUGACGAGCCAACAUAAUGAUUAUUAUGAAAACUCUUGACAGCUGACUUCUGUUUGCUAUCCAUUAUAUUUUUGAUAGCCCACUUAUGAAUAGCCUCGGGUCUGUAGAACAGAAACAUUUUGUGACACCUAAAUUAAGUUGCCAUUCUGAUUUUUUACUUCCAGGAGUGUGUGGAGAAACUAAAUUUGUUGUUGCAGUUUGCAGUUGUUGGAAGUUGUGGACUCCACACUCUGCACAAUGCCUUCAAACAUGGCUUUGCAAAAUGAUAGAUAGACAAACUGUUGAAGGCUUUACAUUCACUGUUUAAUUGUGCUCCAGCAAGAACAGAAGAUUUUUGUUGUAUGACCAAGUCUUCUGUAUUCCCUUUACACUUCUGUGGUCACCGUUGGUUGGAGAGCUUACCAGUGGCUGAGAGAGCUGUGGAGAUUUGGCCAUCCAUGGAGACAUAUGUUGAUGCAGUCAAAUAUAAGAAAAUUCCAAACCCUGGUUCGUCGUCCUUUGACACCAUUGCCGCUUCACGAGAGGACCUUUUGAUACUUCCAAAGCUUAAUUUCUUCAUGCCUGUGUCAAGGACCUUUCAACCAUUCUUGGAGAAGUAUCAAACUGAUCUGCCAGUCAUGCCUUUCUUAAACAAAGACUUAACUGAACUACUGAAGAGUCUUAUAAGACGCUUUGUCAAAAAAGAGCUACUGGAUGUCUCCACAGUUAAACUGGCCAGAUUAGAUGCAGCUGAUGUGCAGACCUGGGUCCCUAUAAAGAUGUCUACAUUGGAAUAGGUGCUUCCUCUGUUCCUAAGGUCCUGUAUAGCUAAAGACAAAAAAAAUCAUUUAAAGGGAUAGUUCACCCAAAAAUGAAAAUUCUGUCAUCAUUUACUCAACCUCAGGUUGUUCCAAACCUAUAUAAAUGUCUUUGUUAUGCUCAACACAAAGAAAGAUAUUUAGAAGAAUAUCAGUAACAAAAUAG